rnacentral:lncRNA from 1 species
GGUUAAAUGGCGUUUUAGUCACUCAACUGACCACCAACUUGCAAUUGGGUCAUCCAACUCAAAAAGCUUUCAGACACAUCAUUAUACUCUUAAAAGUUUUCAUUCAGGUCACUGGCCGUUAAACUCCGUUAAAAAUUUGACGGAAAGCUGACUAAGCAGUCGUGACUUGGCUUAAAUAAAUCCACCGUGGCAUGUAGUCAACAGAAUUGGCAUUUUGGUCACUCAACUGAGUACAAACUUGCAAUCGGGUCAUCAAACUAAAAAAAACUUUCAUUUAGGUCACUUAUCGUAAUAUCCGUUAAAAAAUGAAAAAAGAAAGAAUUAAAAGUAAUCAUCUAGCACCUUUUUUUCUCUCCUAAAAAUUUUGAAACAUAUUAACAAAUUUUGAAACUUAUUAACAAACUUAUUUUGAAAUUUUUUUCUCUCCUAAAAAAUUAAAAUGAAAAUAUUAAAGAGUUUUUCCAAAUGGCCUUAUAAGAUAUGUAAAACGAUAAAAGACAAACAAAGAUUAAGUGUUUGUGGGUGAAACUGCUGAUUUUGUGUGUGUGUGUGUGUGUGUGUUUGUUUCAUUUGUUAAUAAGUUUCGAAAUUAUUAAGAAAGAAAAGAAGGUGCUGCAUGAUAGUUUUUAAUUAUUUCUUUUUUCAUUUUUAACGGAUAUUACGAUAAGUGACCUAAAUGAAAGUUUUUUUGAGUUUGAUGACCCGAUUGCAAGUUUGUACUCAGUUGAGUGACCAAAAUGCCAAUUCUGCUGACUGUACAUGCCACGGUGGAUUUAUUUAAGCCAAGUCACGACUGCUUAGUCAGCUUUCCGUCAAAUUUUUAACGGAGUUUAACGGCCAGUGACCUGAAUGAAAACUUUUAAGAGUAU